rnacentral:rRNA from 1 species
AUUGAACGCUGGCGGCAUGCUUUACACAUGCAAGUCGAACGGCAGCGCGGGCUUCGGCCUGGCGGCGAGUGGCGAACGGGUGAGUAAUACAUCGGAACGUGCCCAGUAGUGGGGGAUAGCUCGGCGAAAGCCGGAUUAAUACCGCAUACGACCUGAGGGUGAAAGCGGGGGAUCUUCGGACCUCGCGCUAUUGGAUCGGCCGAUGGCAGAUUAGCUAGUUGGUGGGGUAAAGGCCUACCAAGGCGACGAUCUGUAGCUGGUCUGAGAGGACGACCAGCCACACUGGGACUGAGACACGGCCCAGACUCCUACGGGAGGCAGCAGUGGGGAAUUUUGGACAAUGGGCGAAAGCCUGAUCCAGCAAUGCCGCGUGUGUGAUGAAGGCCUUCGGGUUGUAAAGCACUUUUGGCGGGAACGAAAAGGACUGUGCCAAUACCACGGUUCGAUGACGGUACCCGAAGAAUAAGCACCGGCUAACUACGUG